rnacentral:rRNA from 1 species
CAGCCGUAAACUAUGCGCGUUAGGUGUACUGGUGACCACGAGUCACCGGGGUGCCGAAGGGAAACCGUGAAACGUGCCGCCUGGGAAGUACGGUCGCAAGGCUGAAACUUAAAGGGAAUUGGCGGGGGAGCACCACAACGGGUGGAGCCUGCGGUUUAAUUGGACUCAACGCCGGAAAUCUCACCGGGACCGACAGCAACAUGAAGGCCAGGCUGAAGACUUUGCCGGAUUAGCUGAGAGGUGGUGCAUGGCGUAGUCGUGU